rnacentral:tRNA from 1 species
GAAAAGUUAGUUAAAUUAUAACAUAAAAUUGUCAAUUUUAAAUUACUGUAUUUUAUAGUACUUAUCG